GCACAGCAUAUUUUGGACAAGGAAAAUAGGGAACUUGUGUUAAUAACCACCACUUCUUCAAGGGUCAGGAAGUGAAGUUUUGAGGCUGACAUCAACAUCCACUGCACAUUCAGUGUGCCUGGAAUUCCUGAAGUUUCCAUCCAGUUUUUAAUUCUUUUUUUUUCCAGAACGUUGAGUGCAGAAAAUACUUGCCAAAAACCCCCUGGAUAUAUAUUUGCCUCUCAUAAAAUGAGGCAUGGUUGGAUAUAAGUUCAAGGAGAAUUUCAAAUGUACUAUGUAGAAAUGGAGAAUCCUGUAACAGAAAACAGUUUUCAAAGUGCUGAUGCAAAUAAGAAACCAGGAAUAUGUUUUCUGUAAAAAUGUUGGACAGGAAGCGAAAAGCUGAAGAACCUCCUACCUGCUGGAGACCUUC
rnacentral:lncRNA from 1 species